rfam:Oryza glaberrima chromosome 3 Oglab03_0105_13, whole genome shotgun sequence.
AAAAAGACAAAUAUUAGGUUUCCGUGUCCAACGUUUAACCGUCCGUCUUAUUUAAAAAAAUUAUAAAAAAAUUAAAAAGACAAGUCACAUAAAGUAUUAUCAUGUUUUAUCAUCUAACAAUAAUGAAAAUACUAAUUAUAAAAAAAAUUCAUAUAAGACGAACAGUUAAACGUUAGACACGGAAAUCCAGGUUUAUCAUUUUU